AGCGAACGCUGGCGGCAGGCCUAACACAUGCAAGUCGAACGAACUCUUCGGAGUUAGUGGCGGACGGGUGAGUAACACGUGGGAACGUGCCUUUUGGUUCGGAAUAACUCAGGGAAACUUGUGCUAAUACCGAAUGUGCCCUUCGGGGGAAAGAUUUAUCGCCAUUAGAGCGGCCCGCGUCUGAUUAGCUAGUUGGUGAGGUAACGGCUCACCAAGGCGACGAUCAGUAGCUGGUCUGAGAGGAUGACCAGCCACACUGGGACUGAGACACGGCCCAGACUCCUACGGGAGGCAGCAGUGGGGAAUCUUGCGCAAUGGGCGAAAGACUGACGCAGCCAUGACGCGUGAAUGAUGAAGGUCUUAAGAUUGUAAAAUUCUUUCACCGGGGACGAUAAUGACGGUACCCGGAGAAGAAGCCCCGGCUAACUUCGUG
rnacentral:rRNA from 1 species